GCUCAGGACGAACGCUGGCGGCGUGCUUAACACAUGCAAGUCGAACGAUGAACCACUUCGGUGGGGAUUAGUGGCGAACGGGUGAGUAACACGUGGGCAAUCUGCCCUGCACUCUGGGACAAGCCCUGGAAACGGGGUCUAAUACCGGAUACUGAUCCUCGCAGGCAUCUGCGAGGUUCGAAAGCUCCGGCGGUGCAGGAUGAGCCCGCGGCCUAUCAGCUAGUUGGUGAGGUAACGGCUCACCAAGGCGACGACGGGUAGCCGGCCUGAGAGGGCGACCGGCCACACUGGGACUGAGACACGGCCCAGACUCCUACGGGAGGCAGCAGUGGGGAAUAUUGCACAAUGGGCGAAAGCCUGAUGCAGCGACGCCGCGUGAGGGAUGACGGCCUUCGGGUUGUAAACCUCUUUCAGCAGGGAAGAAGCGAAAGUGACGGUACCUGCAGAAGAAGCGCCGGCUAACUACGUGCCAGCAGCCGCGGUAAUACGUAGGGCGCAAGCGUUGUCCGGAAUUAUUGGGCGUAAAGAGCUCGUAGGCGGCUUGUCACGUCGGUUGUGAAAGCCCGGGGCUUAACCCCGGGUCUGCAGUCGAUACGGGCAGGCUAGAGUUCGGUAGGGGAGAUCGGAAUUCCUGGUGUAGCGGUGAAAUGCGCAGAUAUCAGGAGGAACACCGGUGGCGAAGGCGGAUCUCUGGGCCGAUACUGACGCUGAGGAGCGAAAGCGUGGGGAGCGAACAGGAUUAGAUACCCUGGUAGUCCACGCCGUAAACGGUGGGCACUAGGUGUGGGCAACAUUCCACGUUGUCCGUGCCGCAGCUAACGCAUUAA
rnacentral:rRNA from 1 species